rnacentral:rRNA from 1 species
GACGAACGCUGGCGGCGUGCUUAACACAUGCAAGUCGAACGAAGAGCGAUGGAAGCUUGCUUCUCUCAAUCUUAGUGGCGAACGGGUGAGUAACGCGUAAUCAACCUGCCCUUCAGAGGGGGACAACAGUUGGAAACGACUGCUAAUGCCGCAUACGAUCUGACCUCGGCAUCGAGGAUAGAUGAAAGGUGGCCUCUAUUUAUAAGCUUUCACUGCAGGCGGGGAUUGCGUCUGAUUAGCUAGUUGGGGGGGUAACGGCCCACCAAGGCGAUGAUCAGUAGCCGGUCUGAGGGGAUGAACGGCCACAUUGGGACUGAGACACGGCCCAGACUCCUACGGGAGGCAGCAGUGGGGAAUCUUCCGCAAUGGACGAAAGUCUGAUGGAGCAACGCCGCGGGAGUGAUGACGGCCUUCGGGUUGUAAAGCUCUGUUAAUCGGGACGAAAGGCCUUCUUGCGAAUAGUUAGAAGGAUUGACGGUACCGGAAUAGAAAGCCACGGCUAACUACGUG